rnacentral:rRNA from 1 species
UUUCCGUAGGGGACCGGCGGAAGGUUCUUGAAUGAUUCGAAUCCCUCGGGAACAAAAGGUCCCCCUUGGGGGGCGGGUUUCGGUAUCCCCCAAGGGGUGGGUUCCCUGGCGGGGGUCUUCGGACGGCAGUUAGUUCCGGCGGGCGCGCCCUCGGGCGGGUGGGCCUUCGUGGCUGCCGCCAGUUGGGUUCGCUGGAAAUUGUAUCCAACUCAACCCACCCCAAACCACAACUUAUACUGAAGCAAUCGGUGAGUGCACUCUGGUGCCUCGCUCUAACCAAAGACAACUCUCAACAACGGAUAUCUUGGCUCCCGUAUCGAUGAAGAACGCAGCGAAAUGCGAUACGUAGUGUGAAUUGCAGAAUUCCGUGAACCAUUGAAUCUUUGAACGCAAAUUGCGCCCAAGGCUUCGGCCGAGGGCAUGUCUGCCUCAGCGUCGGCUUACCCCCUCGCUCCCCCUCUCCUUUGGAGUGGGUGAACGGAUCUGGUUUUCCCGGCUACGUGCUUCUGCACGCCCGGGUUGACUGAAGUGUAGAGGCUUGAGCAUGGACCCCGUUUGUAGGGCAAUGGCUUGGUAGGUAGCUUAGCUACACCGCCUGCCGUGGUCCGAGGGGACUUUGCUGGCGGCCCAGCAGGAAUUCGGGUGUUGGGUUUCCCACCCCGAAAGCUUCAAACCUUCGACCUGAGCUCAGGCAAGACUACCCGCUGAACU